rnacentral:lncRNA from 1 species
GUGAACGCACCUGAAACUUCAGUAAUGGGGGUCGUCGGUGAACUCGGUGAGCUGAGCAAGUAGAUGGGGAAGAAACCAAUGGAACAAUGGCCACCCCUGAUUACGGAGGUGACCCCCAAUUCCAAUGGAACAGUAGCUGUGGCGAACACUACUAGAUCUUAGAAGGAUAAAGAAUUAGGCAUGCAAGACCGAUUGGAGGGUAGUUUGGAGAAAUCCCCUGUUCUGGUGAAUGCACAAAGGAAGCUUGACUAUCUGCAGAUUCAGAUAAAAAAAGGUCGAAUCUUUUUGCUACAAAUUGUAUGUUUGCUAAAGGUAUGAACCUUAGCUAUAUGGCAUCAAUUAUGAAGAAUUGAGAAAAUGUCAUUGAACUCAACAAGCAGGAUGUUAAUCGCACAACAGAGGAAUAAAAAUAGGCCCCCAUUUUGUAUGCUGUAGGGAAGUCACCUACUAUAGCUACGAUUGAG